UACGAGGGGGGCAAGCGUUGUUCGGAUUUAUUGGGCGUAAAGGGCGCGUAGGUGGCGCGGGCAGUCAACGGUGAAAGUUCGGGGCUCAACCCUGAAUCGGCCGUCGAUACUCCCGGGCUUGAGCACUGUAGAGGCAGAUGGAAUUCCGGGUGUAGCGGUGGAAUGCGUAGAGAUCCGGAAGAACACCGGUGGCGAAGGCGGUCUGCUGGGCAGUAGCUGACACUGAGGCGCGACAGCGUGGGGAGCAAACAGG
rnacentral:rRNA from 1 species